AGAGAUGCAUUGGGCUUAAAGCGUGCGCAGGCGGUUUUGUAAGACAGAGGUGAAAUCCCCGGGCUCAACCUGGGAACUGCCUUUGUGACUGCAAGGCUGGAGUGCGGCAGAGGGGGAUGGAAUUCCGCGUGUAGCAGUGAAAUGCGUAGAUAUGCGGUGGAACACCGAUGGCGAAGGCAAUCCCCUGGGCCUGCACUGACGCUCAUGCACGAAAGCGUGGGGAGCAAACA
rnacentral:rRNA from 1 species